CUCGAAAACACUUGUUUUCAAAUCGUGAUCGUUUCUAUUAAAUCGUCAAUUCAAAUCGUUUCUAUGUUUACAAAUAAAUAAAUCAAUUUUAUUAUACUUACGUGUGCACAGAACAAUUUGGAGUGCUUCAUGUGAAAACAGCAACAACACAGUGCUCAUUGGGGAUCAUAGCAUUCCGACACACCAGAAACAUUUAGGCCUGAAAAUAUUUCGACUAAAACAGAGAUAUACAUAUGAAUGUACACGAAGUAUCUUCUAAUGCAGUUUUUAUGAUAUUCGUUUUGAUUGUAAUUAAACGCACGCAACGGGGAUAGACCGACCGAAAAUUCACCCGUUCGCCUGCGCCAUCUGAGGCAUGCGACUAGCGCUGAGACGCGACUUUCAGCACGCAAUGCAAGUGGGUCAUAUACGAGUACUCGUCGAAAAGACUGUGGGCACCAAAUAAGUGUAUGUGAUAUACUGCUAGAAAAGUGAAUGUGUUCGAAAGCUCAGCGAGAAGUUGUUUUGUAAACAAUUUUAUUGCCUCUGAAUUUAUGGAUUUAUCAUGAGGUUGGUGGUAGGAGGUGGUGGGACGAAUGGAAAAUACAGUGAUACAAAUACAAUGAAGAGCAUAAUAUUGUGGAGUUGUUUACAACAAUUUACAUAAUAGCUUUUUGAUACAAAAACAAAUAAAGAAUUGAAGCAUUAUUUCAAUUACUUCAAUUCUCCAAAGUGCGUUGGUAUAUACAGUAAAAGUGUUACAGGUAUUUUUUUUCAAUCACGCAUAGUUUUCUUGAUUUUAUUGUAUACUAUGCCGAAAAGUAAAAAUACUUAGAACAAAUCCCAAAUAAGUUUCUUAUCGACGAAGUAGUCAACCGUUGAUGGUCCAAUAAAAACUAACAUUAACCAAAGAGGACUAUUCAGAGUCGUGGAAAAUUAAGGCAUUAUCUACCUUAAAAUCCUACAUAAGGUAUAGGCGUCAAUAAAUGUUACUCUUUUAACUGCUAUCACACGUCAACUUGAAUCAAUUUAUAGCCCUCGGAUCGCAUUCGCCAGAAUUUUGAGCAUCUUGUGACUUUAGCCAAAUUUUCAUUAUAUGAUUAUAUUAUUUAUCUAUAUAGUUCAGAUACUCAGUAAAUUUGUUAAAUGGGUUGAGAAAAGUACUUAGGAGCGUCUAAUCUAGUUUACAUUAAUUUUGAAACUCCAUUAUGCCUUUGUAAUUAAAUUAAAUGAGAAAUUAUUCAGCCCUUCAAGUGUAAUUAAGUAAAAUUGAGUACACUUCAUAAUAUACAAAAUAUUCGAUACAAGAACAUGAUUUUGAUUGGUUAGUUUGUAUGGCAGCUAUAUACUAUAGUUAUCCGAUCUGAAAAAUUUGUUUGGAAUUUGUACCGUUGUCAUGGGCACCAACCCAUGCCAAUUUCUUGAAGACAUCUUGUCAAAUAAAAAUGUUUUCUUACAAGGACUGAAGCUACAUGCUACGGCUAUAGUCCGAUUUAAACAAUUUUCUCGGAAAUCGUAUGGUUGCCUUAAGCAAUAAUCCUUGCUAAAUUUCGUGGAUAUAUCUCGUCAAAUAAAAAGUUUUCCAUGCAUACUUACCAAACUACCUGUUCAGGGUAUAAAGCUACAAAAGCUUAAUUUGAUAUAGAGGAUCACCGUGAGGUAGGGCGUCUGUGGUUUAAAAUAUGUAUAUAUCUCACAAACUACAUUGAACUUACUGAAGAAAUUUCCCUCUAUUACUUCUUUAUACAGUGUAAUAAUGGUUGAAACGGUUAAGUUCAACUAUUCAUAUAACGGUUAUGUCCAAAACUACUUAAAAUUUGGGCAAUGACCGUCCACUUUCAGAAGAAAUCCCAUAUCUCCGCAACUAAUCUAACAAAAUGUGCGAAAUCGGAUCACAACCACUCCUACUCAUCAAAUAACAUAAUAUCAAAUUCUUUCAGAUUUAUCCAUCCAAUAUAUAAAUGAGGCAUCAACUAAGAUAUUUGAAUAAAUCUUUGAGCAAAUAUUGCUUUCAAGGUGUGUCACAUCUUUGCUUAAAGUAAUCGAAAUCGAACUAUAACUAUAACAGAACUAAAUAUGAGGGCUCUAGUGCCUAUAUCUGGGUUUUUAUCGAAAAUAUCGAUUAAUCUGUGAGAUAUCUUAAGGCAUCUCAGAGGUCAUCCUUUCCUGAUAAUAAUGUGCUCUUUUAAAAAAAUCGAGUCAAUAACCCCAUAUUCUUACCUAUUUAACGUUUUUCAUUAUUCUGGUUGGCUUUAUUAUUAUUUAUAAUUAUUUUGAUACUAUUAACCCUACCCCAAACAAAUUGCGGAAGGUAGACGUGAAUUUUCGACUUUAUAUAGUUUUCACUGAUUUCAUAAUAAAUCUAAGUGUUAUUGAAACAAUAAAAUUUGAUGUAAUUUAAAUGUUCCGUUAAUUAUAUUAGGGUAAUUCUGCUUAAUUUUAAAGAAGGCGCUUCUUUAUUAACUUUAUCAUCUCACACAUUCACGAAUUUGAAAAAGAUAAUAUAUACAUAGAACAUAUGUAUGGUAAAUUUCUUUCGAACUUAAUCCGAAUUCACUAAAACUUUACCUUGAGUUACUUCCAACCUAUCAGCAAAAAGACUGUUAUAUGUGUGGUUGACAUCGAAAACGUCAAUUGUAAUAUAUAAGAACAAAGUGUAAUGUUCUGCAACGCAUCCUAAAUAUUUUUGACAUAUCAUCAUAUUAUAUUUUGAAACAUAUUAAACUGGUAGUCGAUAAGCAGUGACAGAGUGAAAUCGCGCAACACAAAUAAAGUUGAAGCUUUUUGAUAUAUGUAUUCAUCAUAUGGGGGAGUGAGACUUUAAAGCUUGUUGUUUUAUUAAUUUAUACUAAAUUUGCAAUAUACAGAGAUUAUGGCAAAUAAUGUACUUAUGAUGGCAAGAAUAUUAUAUUGUAUAUUUGCCUAUAUAUUGUAUAUUAAUUUGUGUUGGAAAAUAUUUUUUAUGAAACGGAAGAAAUUUUCUAUAAUUAAACUACAUAUUUGGUUAUAACUUUAACGCUCGCAAAAACAGCUUAUUGGGAAAGUAAGCUUCAGCAGUAAAUGUUUUUGCAACGUCAAAUUUAUACCACGCAUCUUUUUGCAAUAUUAUUUGACGUUGCAUACCGACGAUAUAUAAAUACUGUAAUCAUACUGUAUCGAUACUUUGCAGUAUGAUCUUUGUUUCCACUUAACCGUGCGGUUCAAGGUUAGCUUUAUUUAUAAGUUUCAAUAGUAACUCCAGUAAUUAAUUUAUGUUUCUUUUAUGCGUGUAUGUGUAUAUGUAGGUUCGUAAAAAUCUAAUACGGUUUACUGACAUUCAAAUUUCUCGGCACUGACCUUGGGCGAAUCGUUUUAUAAAUUCGAUGAUGCACAGCCCAAUAGCACGAGCAGAGGCACAACAACUGGUUGAAUGGCCGAACGGUCAAUGCCGUUUUCUGCCCACUACAAGCGCUCUCAUCUUCUCAGGUGGCUAGCGUUUCUACUAGACCGCAUCCCCGGUAUACGCAAUCACUUUUGAUUAUUACGAAACACACGAAAGAUUGAUGCCAAUGACUUUCAGUGUGCCACAGCGCACGAACGGGCGACAAUAAACGGCUGCAAAAUUCAAAAUGGGAGAGAAGUCUGUGAGAGAAUAAAAAUUUGUUCAAAUGCUCCUGACAAUUAGCAUUGUGGGAAUAUAUACAAAAUUUUAACUGAAAAACUCGGAGCGAAUGAGUAAAUAAUUGUUACGAUAAGCGUGCUCGGACGGAAAGUAUCCAAAUAUUUAAAAAACGAUUACGCAUGGAAUACUAGUACCUAUGUACAUAUCUAUGUAUAUACAAAAGUAUGGUCUUAAAAAUAUACGAAGCUUUAAAAAACUGGUGACAAAAUAAUAAAUUUGUAUGUCAUGGCUUUUUGAGGUCAGCAUAUACAUAUGUCAAUCUAGGUAUACAUAUUUGUAAGUAAUCGUACAAGCGGUUAGAGUAAAAAAAUUAAUCACAACAAAAAAGCGAAAGCUGCUAAGCAGUGGCAAAUUUUAGUUAAAGAUACAGAAUGCCGAAAGCUAUACGAUGUCAAAACAAAGCAAAGUGCCAUCUAAUAGCACAAUGGGGCUUUCAGGUUUCCCCCCUCUAGAAAAAGAAUGAAUAAAUUUUAAGUAAAUAUUUCUAGUUCAGAUACCAAGCGGUGACGGUGACAGCAGCGAUGUCCAUUGCCCAGUCAGCCCACGCGAGGAGGAUACAGAUAAGAGGAUUUUCGGCGACCCAUGCUUAAUAAUAAAUAAAUUUUAAGUGUAACAACUUUUAUUAAAACAUUAAAAAAAAUGUUAUCCAAUAGAUAAAGUGUUUUAUAAAAAUAAUUUUAUAUAAAUUAAAGCAAAGCUAAUUGCAUAUAAAUUUAAAUAAGUUUUACAUAUACACAAUGUCAUCCGAAACUGUUAUGCGAUGUAUAAAAUGAAAACAUCGAUUUUUGGGAAAUAUCGACUACUGCGUUCGAAAUUUAACGAUGUAUUACAUUAAAUCAAUAAUCAAGAACAA